GGGCAGCUGCUACCGCGCAUCGAACGCGCAGUCAGGCGCAGGUCGCUCAGCAAGUAGUGCGCCGGGGAGAACUUCGAAAGACAGAUUGCUGACGAUUUUCUGUGACGCCUUUCUUCUGGAUAGAAACAUGGCAAAGCGACAAGCUUCCAAAGAACUGAACGCUGACAACUGGGAAGAGGAGGACGAACCAGAAGAUCAAGGCCAGUUCAAGAAAGCUGACAAAGAGGAAAUUGGACGCCGUGUAAUCAAGACUGCCAAGCGUAGCCUCACCAACACGUCAGCCUCAGCUAGUCCCUUUGGUGGCUUUGGUUUUGCCAAGGCGGAUGCCAAAAAGCCACCAGACGCCACACUACCCAACGGCUCCACAUCAACAGUACCACCUGACAAGAAGCCACAAAAUGAAGAUCCAGUUUUUCUAGGCAAGCUGAAGCGCUUAAACGAGUGCCUGCUGAGCUGGGUAAAGCAGCAUGUGGAGUCCAAUCCAUUCUCGGAUUUCCGUCCCGUCUUCCGGGACUACGAACAUCAUCUAACCGAAAUCCGAAAGUUUUCCACAUCUGGACCUGAACUGCCCAAGUUACCCACAUUCAAUUUUGCAUCAUCAGUCCCCACCAAUUUAAACUUCGACCAGGCACCUAAAGGUGACCCAAAGUCUAAUACUCCUGCCUCAGAGUCUUCCAAACCUGAAACCAGUUCUUCGGGUACCACCGCGACGAAGUCUUUUAUAUUUGGGAUGCAGGCUGCACCUACAUCUUCCCAUGCCCCGACACCAACUUUCACAUUUGGGUUAUCAACAGUUGCCCCAACGACAACUUCAACUCAGAAGGACACUAAUGGUUCUGAUGAGGAGGAGUACGUGCCUCCAAAGGAAGAGUUUGCUCCAGUUGAAGAAAAGGAUGCCGUGUACACCAAACGGUGCAAGCUGUUCCAGAAGAAAGACAACGGCUAUGCAGAAAAGGGUGUGGGCAUCCUCUACAUCAAGCCACAGAAGGACAAAUACCAGCUGCUAAUCAGGGCUGACACCAAGCUCGGUAAUAUACUGCUAAACAUCAUGCUGGCCCCGUCGUUACCAGUGUCACGUUUGGGCAAGAAUAAUGUGGCACUGGUGUGCAUUCCAAACCCACCUACGAAUGGCAAGGACGAGCCAGCAAGCCCUACAACUAUGCUGCUUCGCGUGCGUACAGCUGAAGACGCUGAUGACCUGAAAGAUGCCUUGGAGCGCUACAAGAAUGAGAAGAAGGACAGCUGAGUUUGAACACAGCUGUCUAAAAUUAGCCUAUCAAUGAAAAAAAAAUUCAUCCCAGGUCGAAUUAAUGUGCCCCGCACUUUAUAAACUAGCCCACGCCAGUUCAGUGCUGGCUCUCGCAGAGCUGCCUUGCUGUCAACUCGUCUUGCACAAAGUCUGCGUUGUUUGAAAUGAAUGGAGACAUGCUGGUGCCACAAUGUUGAGCUGGUGAAAUUAGCAGCACAUCCUGAACUAGGCCGGAAAGUGCCGGCAAAUCAACAGAACCUUACAAUAUGGCCAAUACUAUUAAAGGUUACAAGUGAACUUUUAUCAUUUUA